UACGUAGGGUGCAGGCGUUAAUCGGAAUUACUGGGCGUAAAGCGUGCGCAGGCGGUUUUGUAAGCCAGAUGUGAAAUCCCCGGGCUUAACCUGGGAAUGGCAUUUGGGACUGCAAGGCUCGAGUGCGGCAGAGGAGACUGGAAUUCCUGGUGUAGCAGUGAAAUGCGUAGAUAUCAGGAGGAACACCGAUGGCGAAGGGAGGUCUCUGGGCUGACACUGACGCUCAUGCACGAAAGCGUGGGGAGCAAACAGG
rnacentral:rRNA from 1 species